AACUCUUCCAUCUUGUCUUGUCCUGGGCUAACAUUUGAAAGGUUUUGUCUAGAGACAUACAAUUUUAGAAAUUGGACAACUUUGUUUGGCUUCUACAAGGGCUCAUCAGGAACAGCAGUAGAGCAAAAGUCCACAAAUUAGACCUGCUCAGCAAACAGUUCCUAUAGGCCAGCAUGACAGCAGCAGCUCCUCCGACCACAGUGAUUUUGACGCCUCUGUCAGCCCCCUGAGGCCUGUCCGCCCACACCGUUUCCCAACAGCCCCCACUCCACAAGAUGUGGCCCCCAGCCAGGAAGCAAGCACAUCUGUUUCUGAGUGAGGCAGACUCGUGCACGGUAUUGUGGUUGUGUGAACAGGCCUCCCAGCGAUACUACCAGGCCUGUGGUCUCCUGCCACGCCUCUCUCUGCAGAAAGAGGGCGCUCUCCUCUCCCCUCAAGACCUCCUGCUGGCCGUUCUCCACUCCAAUGAAGAAGUGAGGCCAAACAAACUCUUAAAACCAUAUUAAUGAUUAUAUAUUUAUUUGU